rnacentral:rRNA from 1 species
GAUGAACGCUGGCGGCGUGCCUAAUACAUGCAAGUCGAACGCUUAGACUCGGAGAUGACUGGUCUACGGUUGAGUAAUGCAUAAGUAGCCUCGCAUCUACAGCGUGAUAACAGAUGGAGACGAAAUCUAAGACAGCAGAGGUGUAGAGAGCGCAUAAACUCUAUCUGAAAAGUGCUUCGGGACUGGUAGAUGUUGGACUUGUGCCGCAUUAGCUAGUUGGUAGGGUAACGGCUUACCAAGGCGACGAUGCGUAGCCGACCUGAGAGGGUGAUCGGCCACACUGGGACUGAGACACGGUCCAGACUCCUACGGGAGGCAGCAGUAGGGAAUUUUCCGCAAUGGGCGAAACCCUGACCGAGCAACGCCGCGUGAGUGAUGAAGGUCUUCGUUAUGUAAACCUCUGUUAUAGGGGAAGAACGGUUGUUAAAGUGACUAUUCUCGUAGUGACGGUACUCGAUAAGAAAGCCACGGCUAACUACGUG